UACGAAGGGUGCAAGCGUUACUCGGAAUUACUGGGCGUAAAGCGUGCGUAGGUGGUUUGUUAAGUCUGAUGUGAAAGCCCUGGGCUCAACCUGGGAAUUGCAUUCGAGACUGAAUAGCUAGGGUACGGUAGAGGGAAGCGGAAUUUCCGGUGUAGCGGUGAAAUGCGUAGAUAUCGGAAGGAACAUCAGUGGCGAAAGCGGCUUCCUGGACCAGUACCGACGUCAGGCACGAAAGCGUGGGGAGCAAACAGG
rnacentral:rRNA from 1 species